rnacentral:rRNA from 1 species
GUAGUCCUAGCUGUAAACGAUGUAUACUUGGUGUAACUGGACUCAACCCCGGUUGUGCCGAAGCUAACGCGAUAAGUAUACCGCCUGAGGAGUACGCUCGCAAGGGUGAAACUCAAAAGAAUUGACGGGGACCCGCACAAGCAGUGGAGUAUGUGGUUUAAUUCGAUGCAACGCGAAGAACCUUACCCAGGUUUGACAUGCAGUGGACGAUGGCAGAAAUGUCAUUUCUCUUCGGAGCCGCUGCACAGGUGCUGCAUGGCUGUCGUCAGCUCGUGCCGUGAGGUGUUUGGUUAAGUCCAGCAACGAGCGCAACCCUUAUCAUUAGUUGCCAACAUUUCGGAUGGGAACUCUAAUGAGACUGCCUGGGUGAACCAGGA